rnacentral:snoRNA from 1 species
AUCCCAUGAUGAGGACAGGCGGCGACAUACUCCUGCACAUGCUCCCAGGCUUCAGGUAUUGACUCGUCCUUCGCCUACUGGAAGCUUGAAAUCCUUCCACGAAGGGC